UACGUAGGGUGCAAGCGUUAAUCGGAAUUACUGGGCGUAAAGCGUGCGCAGGCGGCCUAUUAAGUCAGAUGUGAAAUCCCCGAGCUCAACUUGGGAACUGCAUUUGAAACUGAUAGGCUAGAGUGUGUCAGAGGGAGGUAGAAUUCCACGUGUAGCAGUGAAAUGCGUAGAGAUGUGGAGGAAUACCUGUGGCGAAGGCGGCCUCCUGGGAUAACACUGACGCUCAUGUACGAAAGCGUGGGGAGCAAACAGG
rnacentral:rRNA from 1 species